rnacentral:rRNA from 1 species
CAUAAGCGACAAGUCGCGAGUCGUACAGGUACCCGGGCGGCCCCUCGAGCCCAGAUUCUUUGUUAGCUUGCUUUUAAAAAACUAAACGGCGGACGGGUGAGUAGCACGUAGGCGACCUGCCCCUUAAACUGGGAUAACUACCGGAAACGGUAGCUAAUACCGGAUAAUUUCUUUUUUCUCCUGAAGGAAGAAUGAAACACGGAACAAUCUGUCACUGAGGUAUGGGCCUGCGGCGCAUUAGGUACUUGGUGGGGUAACGGCCCACCUGGGCGACGAUGCAUAGCCGACCUGAGAGGGUGAACAGCCACACUGGGACUGAAACCCGGCCCAAACUCCUACGGGAGGCAACAGUAGGGAAUCUUCCACCCUGGACUAACGUCUGAGCGAGCAACGCCACGGGAUUGAUGAAGGUUUUCGGAUCGUAAAACUCUGUUGGCAGGGAAGAACGUCCGGUAUAGUAUCUGCUAUCGGAGUGACAGUACCUGAGAAUAAAGCCCCGGCUAACUACGUGCCAACAGCCGCGGUGAUACCUAUGGUGCAAGCGUUGUCCGGUAUUAUUGGCCGUAGAGCGCGCGCAAGCUGUAAUUUAAGUCUGGUGUUUAAACCUUGGGCUCGACCUAAGGUCUCACUGGAUACUGUGUGACUUGAGUACAUAAAAUGUAAAGUGGAAUUCCUCGUGUACCUGUGAAAUGCGUACAUAUGUGGAGGAACACCACGUGGCGCAUGGACACUAUUCUGGGGUUGUAACUGACGACUGAGGGCGCGAAAGCGUGGGGUAUCCAAGCACGAUUACAUCCUCUGCGUAGUCCACGCCGUACAUCGAUGAGCUGCUGCGUGUUAGGAGGGUUUU